rnacentral:rRNA from 1 species
AUUGAACGCUGGCGGCAUGCUUUACACAUGCAAGUCGGACGGCAGCACAGAGAAGCUUGCUUCUUGGGUGGCGAGUGGCGAACGGGUGAGUAACAUAUCGGAACGUACCGAGCAGUGGGGGAUAACUAAUCGAAAGAUUAGCUAAUACCGCAUAUAUUCUGAGGAAGAAAGCAGGGGACCAUUUGGCCUUGCGCUGUUUGAGCGGCCGAUAUCUGAUUAGCUAGUUGGUGGGGUAAAGGCCUACCAAGGCGACGAUCAGUAGCGGGUCUGAGAGGAUGAUCCGCCACACUGGGACUGAGACACGGCCCAGACUCCUACGGGAGGCAGCAGUGGGGAAUUUUGGACAAUGGGCGCAAGCCUGAUCCAGCCAUGCCGCGUGUCUGAAGAAGGCCUUCGGGUUGUAAAGGACUUUUGUCAGGAAAGAAAAAGGCGGGGUUAAUACCCCUGUCUGAUGACGUACCUGAAGAAUAAG